CAGAGUUGGAGCAGCAGUGCUAUCAGAUAACAUCUCUAGGAUACUUUACACCAUCUGACUGAUUUCUCCUGUUCCUUGUGGAGUUUCAGGGAAGACUGGAGCUCAGUGAUGUUCUGGAGGCUUUAGAGGACGACGAGUGAACUUGUCGGUGGACCACAGAAACGUCUUUGUGGAUUCCACCCUCCUAAAGUGUUCAUGUCAGACUUUCAGGUGAUCAUCUCUUUCAUGUCACGUCACUGUGGACCUGCACAACUAUAUUUGUGACCACACUCAUGUGCUUUAAAUGUCCUCUGCUGUGGGAUGCAGAAAUACUUGUUGCAAUAUUUCUUUUCAUUUACAAAAUCUCAAUAAAGUGAUGUUUAUGCAACAAAAUGCACUGGAAGAAAGACAGACAGGCAAAAGUUCACCAAGCAGAGCUUCUUUAUUUUCUUUCGUUUUCACCCUGGCGUUUUCCUUUCCAGUGCUCACACCAGGGUUCUCGUGUUUCUCCUCUUUAUUGGCGUCACCAGACUGAAACAGAGCACUGAUUAGUCUCAUCAGCUGCAGGUGUUUCUUACCGCUCGUGCCGUCCGGCUCCGCCUCCACUCGCGCACCGCUGCUACAGUUUACAUCCCUAAUCAUAUAGAACAAUAUCUGCUUUAUCUAUUCCCAUUUCUCAUCCAGUGAUCAAAUAGUGGAAGCACUGAGAUCAGUGUAAAAGACUUUGGUUUUUGCUCAAGUGUGUUAAAGUGUGUUAUAUUUAUAGAUCUUCAUUUCACUUCACUUCUGCCCUCAGACUCUCACUAGUGUACAGAGAUGAUUGUGGAUUAAACAUAUUAAUGUGUGAAUGUUAGAUUUUCA